UCCAGAAGGGCCUGGGAACAUUUCAGUUGCAUUGCUGUCUAGGGUCAGAAAACUCUUGGAUUUCAUCAAGAAAUAUCUUAAUUUGUGUUCUGAAGAUGAACGUCUGAAGGUCUUAAAGGUUUGGAACGACAUGAGGGCCUGAUGAUCCCUGUGUGCCUGUAUGUGUCCUGUGUUCGUCUGCGUUAGCCGCCAUAAAACACCAGGAGCCUCUUGAACCGCAAGCUCCUAGAGGUGAAAGGUCACCUGGCAGGUGGCAGAAGGAGGUCAAGGGCAUGUCAGGCACAAGCAGUUACCAAUGUUUCUGACAGGGAUUUGGCCCUUCUUCUCACGGGUCACAACUUCCCUCUGUGCCUAGCGCCGGAGGCGGUUUGUUCUUUGCUCAAGAGUGAUAUAACUUCCUUGACCCUUUCAUAUAAAUUCUUGUGAUUGGGAGUUCUGCUGUCACAACACCAACUAAGGGGCAUUAAGUGCAAGUCUGAAAGGAUUUGGCACUGGCUUUGGGAGUAUAAGAGAUGGAGAAAACACUUUACCAUGGGUUUGCUUUGAAAUUACUGGCAUUCAAAACACCCAACAUUUUAUAUUCAUGUAUUUCCCUCUCCAUUUUGUGUCAAAUUUGGACCAUCUAUUAGAGUAUGCUUCGAUGCAAGACACCACAUGUGAAUAAAGUGAAAAUGUACAUACAUCCCCAGCUGAUUAAUCACAGUACAUUAAAACAUUUUUUUUUUAAAUUAUGUUAUGUUCGAAUAUGCAAAUGAUGCAUUAUCUAAUUACAUAUGCAGUAAUUUGCAUUC